UUAAAUUGAAGAGUUUGAUCAUGGCUCAGAUUGAACGCUGGCGGCAGGCCUAACACAUGCAAGUCGAACGGUAGCACAGAGAGCUUGCUCUCGGGUGACGAGUGGCGGACGGGUGAGUAAUGUCUGGGAAACUGCCUGAUGGAGGGGGAUAACUACUGGAAACGGUGGCUAAUACCGCAUAACGUCGCAAGACCAAAGAGGGGGACCUUCGGGCCUCUUGCCAUCAGAUGUGCCCAGAUGGGAUUAGCUAGUUGGUGAGGUAACGGCUCACCAAGGCGACGAUCCCUAGCUGGUCUGAGAGGAUGACCAGCCACACUGGAACUGAGACACGGUCCAGACUCCUACGGGAGGCAGCAGUGGGGAAUAUUGCACAAUGGGCGCAAGCCUGAUGCAGCCAUGCCGCGUGUAUGAAGAAGGCCUUCGGGUUGUAAAGUACUUUCAGCGGGGAGGAAGGUGUUGUGGUUAAUAACCACAGCAAUUGACGUUACCCGCAGAAGAAGCACCGGCUAACUCCGUGCCAGCAGCCGCGGUAAUACGGAGGGUGCAAGCGUUAAUCGGAAUUACUGGGCGUAAAGCGCACGCAGGCGGUCUGUCAAGUCGGAUGUGAAAUCCCCGGGCUCAACCUGGGAACUGCAUUCGAAACUGGCAGGCUUGAGUCUUGUAGAGGGGGGUAGAAUUCCAGGUGUAGCGGUGAAAUGCGUAGAGAUCUGGAGGAAUACCGGUGGCGAAGGCGGCCCCCUGGACAAAGACUGACGCUCAGGUGCGAAAGCGUGGGGAGCAAACAGGAUUAGAUACCCUGGUAGUCCACGCCGUAAACGAUGUCUACUUGGAGGUUGUGCCCUUGAGGCGUGGCUUCCGGAGCUAACGCGUUAAGUAGACCGCCUGGGGAGUACGGCCGCAAGGUUAAAACUCAAAUGAAUUGACGGGGGCCCGCACAAGCGGUGGAGCAUGUGGUUUAAUUCGAUGCAACGCGAAGAACCUUACCUGGUCUUGACAUCCACAGAAGAAUCCAGAGAUGGAUUUGUGCCUUCGGGAACUGUGAGACAGGUGCUGCAUGGCUGUCGUCAGCUCGUGUUGUGAAAUGUUGGGUUAAGUCCCGCAACGAGCGCAACCCUUAUCCUUUGUUGCCAGCGGUCCGGCCGGGAACUCAAAGGAGACUGCCAGUGAUAAACUGGAGGAAGGUGGGGAUGACGUCAAGUCAUCAUGGCCCUUACGACCAGGGCUACACACGUGCUACAAUGGCGCAUACAAAGAGAAGCGACCUCGCGAGAGCAAGCGGACCUCAUAAAGUGCGUCGUAGUCCGGAUUGGAGUCUGCAACUCGACUCCAUGAAGUCGGAAUCGCUAGUAAUCGUGGAUCAGAAUGCCACGGUGAAUACGUUCCCGGGCCUUGUACACACCGCCCGUCACACCAUGGGAGUGGGUUGCAAAAGAAGUAGGUAGCUUAACCUUCGGGAGGGCGCUUACCACUUUGUGAUUCAUGACUGGGGUGAAGUCGUAACAAGGUAACCGUAGGGGAACCUGCGGUUGGAUCACCUCCUUACCUGAAAGAA
rnacentral:rRNA from 1 species